UUGAUCUCACCCAAUAUCUUGGAGAAAUUUGGUUGAUUAACCAUGGUCCAAAAAUACCUCUCAACAUGUGGAAAUUCCGAUGUGAAACUCUUGGUCAGUAAUCGACUAAAUGCAAAAGCCAAGGUGCAUGUUAUAAUAAUAUCAGCCAAGGUGACACUAUGCCCAACAAGGUACGUGUUGGAAGCAAGAUGGGUAUUCAAGGCUCCUAGUGCUCUCUUCGAUCCAGCAAUCGCAGCUUCUUCAAC
rnacentral:lncRNA from 1 species